rnacentral:rRNA from 1 species
CCUGUACCGAUAUGUAGUGCGAUGUGGGGACGGAGAUGGUUAACUCAGCCGGGUGUUGGAUGUCCCGGUUCAAGCGUGUAGUCGUAUCCCUUAGGCAAAUCCGGGGGAAUUAGAUGAGGCGUGAUAACGAGGAGGCUUGCCUCUGAAGUGAGUGAUACCCUGCUUCCAGGAAAAGCCACUAAGCUCCAGCUACAUACGACCGUACCGCAAACCGACACUGGUGCGCGAGAUGAGUAUUCUAAGGCGCUUGAGAGAACUCUGGAGAAGGAACUCGGCAAAUUGACACCGUAACUUCGGAAGAAGGUGUGCCUUUAGUAGGUGAUCCAUUUACUUGGUUAGCCCAAUGAGGCCGCAGAGAAUCGGUGGCUGCAACUGUUUAUUAAAAACACAGCACUCUGCAAAGACGAAAGUCGACGUAUAGGGUGUGACGCCUGCCCGGUGCUGGAAGAUUAAAUGAUGGGGUGCAAGCUCUUGACUGAAGUCCCAGUAAACGGCGGCCGUAACAAUAACGGUCCUAAGGUAGCGAAAUUCCUUGUCGGGUAAGUUCCGACCUGCACGAAUGGCGUAAUGAUGGCCACACUGUCUCCUCCAGAGACUCAGCGAAGUUGAAAUGUUUGUGAUGAUGCAAUCUCCCCGCGGAAAGACGGAAAGACCCCAUGAACCUUUACUGUAGCUUUACAUUGGACUUUGAACAGAUCUGUGUAGGAUAGGUGGGAGGCUUUGAAGCGGUGCCGCUAGGUGUCGUGGAGCCAACGUUGAAAUACCACCCUGGUGUGUUUGAGGUUCUAACCUUGGCCCGUUAUCCGGGUUGGGGACAGUGUAUGGUGGGCAGUUUGACUGGGGCGGUCUCCUCCCAAAGCGUAACGGAGGAGUUCGAAGGUACGCUAGCCACGGUCGGAAAUCGUGGUGAUAGUGCAUUGGCAUAAGCGUGCUUGACUGCGAGACUGACAAGUCGAGCAGGUACGAAAGUAGGACAAAGUGAUCCGGUGGUUCUGUAUGGAAGGGCCAUCGCUCAACGGAUAAAAGGUACUCUGGGGAUAACAGGCUGAUACCGCCCAAGAGUUCAUAUCGACGGCGGUUUUGGCACCUCGAUGUCGGCUCAUCUCAUCCUGGGGCUGUAGCCGGUCCCAAGGGUAUGGCUGUUCGCCAUUUAAAGAGGUACGUGAGCUGGGUUUAAAACGUCGUGAACAGUUUGGUCCCUAUCUUCCGUGGGCGCUGCAAGAUUGAGACAGCCUGCUCCUAGUACGAGAGGACCGGAGUGGACGCACCUCUGGUGUAUCGGUUGUCACGCCAGUGGCAUUGCCGAGUAGCUAAGUGCGGAAGAGAUAACCGCUGAAAGCAUCUAAGCGGGAAACUCGUCUCAAGAUGAGUCUUGCCGGGGCCUUGAGCCCCCUGAAGGGUCGUUCGAGACCAGGACGUUGAUAGGCUGGGUGUGGAAGCGCAGUAAUGCGUUAAGCUAACCAGUACUAAUUGCUCAAAA